rnacentral:sRNA from 1 species
AACUUUUAAAAGAGAGAGCAUCUUUAUAACAACAAUAAAACCUUCCCAAUCAGGUCUUUAAGAGGCAGGCUGCGUCCCUAUCUUUGCCUGGGGCCCAUAACUAUCCUCAGCUAAUCUUUCUCUGACAGAUAAAGAGCUGCUAUAUUCAUUCUUAUAGCUCAAUUUUAAAACUUUAUUCUGAGAAGUAGGGAAGGGAGCCCCGGAUGGGAACGAAGAAUGAGUGUUUGGGGCUAGGUAAGGGGAAGAGGGACAUUAGGGUAUUUGGAAGCUCGACAAUACUUAUUUGCAGAACAGAAGUUUUUUAGAACAAACAAAUCUAAGAUUGGAGACUUUAGGCAAAUUUGUGAGACUGCUGGUUCACACUCAAAUAAUUCCUGUGUAGGAUUCCACGCCCACUCCAGACCAGCUUUCCAAGACAUGCAUCAGUGUAGGACAGGUGGUUAUCUGUCUCAUGCUGUGGAAAGCACGGGGGAAACAGACAAGCUGAAAAUGUCUGUGAGCAUUCCGAGACCACGAGGAGUCCACAAAUCUUUAGCAAUAAGAAAUCUGUUUAUCAGCUGGAGAUAGUCUCUGGUUAGCCCUAACUAAAGCCACUGAGCUGUGGGCUGCUGGGCCUUCAUGAAAUCGACACGAAUUGUAUUCAAUUUGGGCCACAUUAGAAAUUUGGAGCUGCCCGGCUCACAUGGACUCUUUUCAUGGGGAGGGACGGUUCACACUCCUCCCCGUGUGGAACUAGUUACAUUCUCAUGGCACACUCAGGAGUUUAGGGUGAGCAUGUAUCCAUUUGGAUUUGCACAAUUUGCAUGCUGAAAGGUAUAUAAACUCAGAAGCUCUGGGGAGAAGCAUCCUUUGUCAGUUGUGUAGGGAAAGAAAUUGUCUGCUUAGGGAUAGAGAGCUGAGAAUAUUUGAUUGGUUCCUGCCAUCUCUCUAGUCCUUAUUUCUCAUUCUUUUUAAAGCUCUGGCUAUACUUGGCUUCUGUGAGCUACAUCAUCAUCCUUCCUUCUAAAAAAUGUUUUAAACCAGCUAAGAUCGGUUUCUGUUACAUGCAGUGUUUCAACUCAAAUGUGAACCAUGGGAGCUGAAUCUGUAGAGAAGACUAUUAGACUGACAGCUGUGUCUGUGAUUACCUCACACAAGAUUAUCACACAAGAGGCUCCCAGGCCGAGAUGAUGCCUAACAUCUCCUUCCACAGUUCCCACUUAGGUAUCUGGAGAAAUCAUUGAAGGAUCCUAUCCAUUACUUUGACUUCUCUUCCCUUUACCCUCCACCCAGAUAGCCAAUUAACUCUCAGAUCAUUUGUUUCUGCUCCCCGAAAUGGACCUCAGGCUCGUUAAUCUUUCGUUAUGCGCAAAGCAACUACCUUGUAACCGAAGUACAAGAGAGCACGGCCUACAGGAGGGGAGAUGGAUUUUACUCAUGGUUUCAGAGGGUUUAGCUCCUGGUUACUUAGUUUCAUGUAUGUGGACAGAGCAUCAGAGCUGUCAGAACUCAGAGAAAAGCGGGGAUAUGGGGAGACACCAGGGCACGACAGCACCAAGGGCACGCCCUGGUGACCCUACUUCCUCCAGGUGGUUUCCACAACUCCACAAUAAGACCACCAGCUGAAGUCCAAGGGUUGGAAACACGAGCCUGUGGCAGCAGGGGUGGGGGAGAGGUGGAUGGGUCAGCAUUUCAUAUUCAGGUCAUAACACUAUCUGUCUUUGUUUGAAUGACCGCAAUGGGCUCUUGGGUGGUCUUCCUGUCUACCCACAAUUUAUUAUUUUUCCAUCUGGAUCCAAAUGGCAGGUGGGUUAAUCUCACUGACAUUUAAACUGUUCCCAGUUGAAACUUUCUGUAGUAGGAUGCAGCCUAAGCUAACAUAACGAAAGAGACUCAAAAUGGAAAUGAGUAGCUCAGAGCAAAUUGUAGCUUGCUGCUCACCAUACCCAAGGGCUGCUUUACACUGUCAGGAGUCAGAGCUGGCGGCCUACACAGAGCCAGUGUGAUGGGGAAAACAGAGACCGGAGAACCCACAGCAGAUCUUUUUCAGAGUUGCACUGGUCACUUCUGCUCACAGCUCAUGGAUUCAUAAGAGCUUCCCAUGACCACACAUAGUGCCAAGGAACUUCUAACUGUGUGGCCAUCAGUUGGCUGAAACUCAGAAGGUUCUAUUUUUAAACCAAGGGGGAAAUGGACAGCCCGCAGCCUCUCCUGCCCUUUCCAGUGACUGCUGGUGCUAACACAAUGAGAAGCUUAUCCCUGUGACCUCCCAUGGGAACUGGCCAGUCUCUCCUUCACUGUUCUGUGUAAUUUUAAUUUAAAAAAAAUCUUACUUUUAACAAUGGUUCUUAAAUGCUUUAGCCUCCUGUGUAGCCCGCCACCCACCAGAGGCACUGGAAAAGGAAGAUGGGGGUGGAAAGUUGUCCUGUUUACAAAGGUUCUUUGGAGCAACUCCUAUCUGUGUUGUGUGGAAAUUAGCCGUUCACUUCACAGGUGAGCGGCGGCAGCUCGAUCUACUCGAAAACAGCUUACAGAUAUAUCAGCAGUCCAGUUGGGUAGAGUUAGGGUAGUAAACAGGAAUCAUCAGUGGUGGCACCACCUAGCAAAGACAGCCAGCAGAAGGAGGGACUCCGGGAAACGUUCUUGGCUGUACCUCUCAGCAGAAGCGAAGAUCAGGGAAGAUGGGAGACCCACAAGCAUUGCACAGCAAGCUUUACACGCAAGCCGAGCUCAGCCCCCGUCACUGUCCGUUGAGCCCUAACCGAAUAUUAGGACUCAUGUGUCCUCCACGUGUCUUGCCUCAGCACAUGUGUCUGUCUCAGCUGACAUCACUUUGUCAAUCAGUCUGAGUCUGUGGAAGCGGCAAGAAACAGUAGCACACCGCAAGGAGGUUUUUGGUGUGUUUCUCUCUAUGGAGUCCUGACAAAUGGAGCUCAACUAUGCAAUGUAAGGCGGACCGAUAUAGUGUGUUGUUAGUGCAGAAUCCUUCAUCACAUGUCUUUUGAUGUGCUCUUCUGGCAGAACACCCUUUCUCCUGUGUCUGUUUUAGCCGAACGCUCCUUUAAGAGUCUGCAUUAGCUUCUCACCUGCGUCUACUUUAACGAAGUGUUCCUUUCCAUGUUUGCUCCAGUAAAACACCAUCUAACACAACUGACUUUCCAAAGAACCCUUAAAGUUUCCACUUCUGUUUCGCUUGCUCUUUAGCCUAUAUGGAAGCUCCUCUGUUCUGUUCUGUCGCUGGGUCGACUUCAUGUAUCUUUCCUUUGAACCUUGUCUCUUGUGUUAGUUCAUAGGUUUGCUUGUUUGUUCAUAUAAUAUUGGUUUUGGCUUUGAGCUUCCUGGGAUCAAGGGCUUUCUGUAUGCGCCUUGGCGCCACCCCAGUGUGGAGGGCAGAACAUGAUACCACCAACUCAGAGACUGGUCAAGCGUCAAUUUGGAACCAGUCAUCUAGGUAGCUCCCAAAAGAACCUUGCAGAAAAAUCUCCACCGUCAGCGAGUGCCAAACAUCUUAAUAAAUGGAAUCCUACCAUCAAGAACCGAUGCUGCUUAAGAUGCUGGCAGCCCCUCCGGAGGUUGGGUGGCAGAGGCCCGGAACAUGGCGGCAGAAGUCAUCCAAGGAUGCUACUUUGCAAACAGUGCUUAAUGUGGUAUGAGGCAAAGACGAUUUCUCUAGAUCCGGAAUAAGCAUGGCUGUCAGUGUAACUGUCAUUGCCUGAGUUAAAUAAAAAUUGGAACAUCAGAAAUCACAUUUUAAAAACUCAGUAAUCAUUUUUUUUUUACCCAUUACUUUUACCAAUACGUAUCUACUCACUGAUUCUUAUGGGAAUACAAGUGCCACAAAGAAAAAGGAAAUGAAAGAAAGAAUAAAAAAAACGAAAGAAAGAUAAAGCCCUUCUUUCAAGUCAAGAUGGAUAGGGGCUGCCAGACACCCAGGAGAGAUGUUUGGGUUUCUAGCUCUGUCUUUGGUUUGCAAUCUGCCAGGUGGGCCCCAGGAUUCAUCUGCAAGAGGUGGCAGGUACUUUUCAGCUUGGUCCCUGAUGGGAAGCCAGACCACUGAGCUGGGAGAAGCAACUUAACUGUAUCUGCCUGUUCUGUGCUCCAGACCACUGGCAUUUGCAGACUCUGCAUGUUAAGUUGUUGACCUGGUGACCCUCGGAGGUCCUGGGGAGUAUGCCUCUGCUCAGAGAAAACACCUAGAGUUGGCAAUGGCAGCUAAUGAAUUCUUUCUUGGAGGCAAACAUUGACUUCAUCUUUGAACUCCAAGGAGACUUGGGAAAGGUUGGCUACUCGGGAGCUCAUUGAGGUUUUUACCUUGAAACUGAGGACUGAGAUAAGAGGAGGUCUGUGAGGCUGAGAGGCAGGCAUUUGCAGGGGCUUUCUCAGGUAGUGGGGUCACUCCAAGAGAAAGUCAACACCCAAGCCAGCUGCUAACCCCAUUGUGCGGGAUUUAUAGCAGUGAGGGUUCUGUGACCUUAAGCAUCAAGACAGAGGGUUCUUGUGGCCAUCUUACCUCCUUGGGGGAUGGGGAUUGAAGCAGAGGACCUGGGAGGUUCCUGAGGUUCUUGAGGUCAGUGUGAAGGUUUCCAGGUAGAAAGCUCAAGGGCCAGCUUUAAUGGUGUGGCAGAUUAUGGGUGAGCAGGACCGGGAGUGUUGAGGGACAGGAACGAAUGUGGCUGCACAAGAAGCAUGGUAGGAUGCUCCUGAACACCUGCUGGAAUGUGAGGGCAGAACGAGGCACCAGAAGGGCAUGUUUCAGCCCCUGCUGACAGCGCCUGUCCCCACACUGAUGCCUGCUGGCAGGGGACAUCUCCUCGUGGACUUUUAUUCUUUCAGGAAGGCAGGACUGUCACUACCUCAGAAGCUGAGAAUGGAAGAGAAUAAAUAGGCAAGGUUGGAACACGAAAUUCCACCUGCCUCUGCCAUAGGAGAAAAGUUCACUGGCUCCUUUGUUUCUGGAGUUUGUUGUGCCUGCGCACGCACGUUGCGACCGUGGGCACAUGCAUGAUAAAUAUCUUUGAUAGCAUGAAUUUCCCAGGUGUUAAUUUUAUUCAAGGCAGUACGUGGAGGCAAUGAACAAGACAGUUCAAACAUGGAGACUCUUAAGUUCCCAGUGGAUGGUGCCACUUGCAAAGUGCCCCAGGACAUUUGAGGUGGUACGGUGGAUGAAGGAAGGAUGCUGAAGUUGAAUUACGAGAACUGCUUUUAGAGAAGAGAUACACAGCCUAAGUCUUCUUUUCAGAAUUGAUGAACAGAGCUUUGGGGACUGCAGAAAUAACUCAGUCAGUAAAGUACUCGCUACAAAAACAGAAGGACCUGAGUUCACAUCCCCAGUACACAGAACAAGAAAUCAAGGAAAGUGGUGUGCAUCUGUGAUCUUUGCAAGAGGGUUUCCAGGGUUUAGUAACUGGCUAGUGUAGCUGAGUGAGCUCCACAUACAAUGAGAGGCCCUGUCUCAAGAAAUAAGGUGGAGAAUGAUUAAGGAAGACUUUGAUGGUGGCCUCUGAUCUUCACAUGCACAUAUAUGCCCAUCCAUCCAUAUAUGCAUGGACACAGGUACAACCACAGACCCCCACCACCCCCACACACACCAAAUAAAGAAUGGAAUGUUUUUGUGUCUGAAGCAGGCAGCAAUUAGCCCACUUUGUCCUCACAAGGGCAGCUGGUAGAGGCCUCAGGCUUUGUAGACCAUGAGCUCUCUGCUGCACCCACCCACCUCUGUUGCAGAGGGGCAAGGACAUUGUCACGGGUGUGACUGCUCCCAACACAUUAUAUUUAUGAAAACCAAAUACCCAAUCAGACUGGCCUGCAGGACCUCAUUUGUCAACCCUAUUUUAACCCCUUUAUUGGCCUGAACCCACUUAAGGCUCACAGCUGGACUGAGUACAGACAAGGGGGAGUUUGGGUACCUUGCUCAGAAAGAACAGUGUGGACUAGAGUAGGAUCUGAACUCAGGUCAUCUACCCUUAGGGUCAAAGCCCUAAGCACUGACAUUUUAUUGUCUCUGUGAUUAACUGACAGAUCACUUCCAUCACAGUUCCCGUUUCUUCCUCAUCACUUUCUUCCUCUUUUGUUCCUUGUCCUGAGAUGUUUUUCUCAUUCAUUCAUUCACUCAUUCAUUCAUUCAUUUCUUAUUUACUAUACAUUUCACUUUCUCAGCUCAAUGCCAGAUACUGAAGAAAACACAAAAGGAGAUCUAAGAACACAAGUAUCUAGCUGGAAAGAUGGCUCAGGUAUUAAAGGCCAGGCCCACAACCAGAAAUACAAAAACGGAAGUAUGUCGGCAGGGGUAAGGACACAGGUGGACUUCCUUUCUGCUCUGAAGUCUCUGUCCAAUGCAGAGGGAGUCAUGCAUAUGUGUAUGUGUAUAU